rnacentral:rRNA from 1 species
GCAGCGACGCCGCGUGAGGGAUGACGGCCUUCGGGUUGUAAACCUCUUUCAGCAGGGAAGAAGCGAAAGUGACGGUACCUGCAGAAGAAGCGCCGGCUAACUACGUGCCAGCAGCCGCGGUAAUACGUAGGGCGCAAGCGUUGUCCGGAAUUAUUGGGCGUAAAGAGCUCGUAGGCGGCUUGUCACGUCGGAUGUGAAAGCCCGGGGCUUAACCACGGGUCUGCAUUCGAUACGGGCAGGCUAGAGUUCGGUAGGGGAGAUCGGAAUUCCUGGUGUAGCGGUGAAAUGCGCAGAUAUCAGGAGGAACACCGGUGGCGAAGGCGGAUCUCUGCGCCGAUCUGACGCUGAUGAGCGAAAGCGUGGGGAGCUAACAGGAUUAGAUACCCUGGUAGUCCACGCCGUAAACGUUGGGAACUAGGUGUGGGCGACAUUCCACGUCGUCCGUGCCGCAGCUAACGCAUUAAGUUCCCCGCCUGGGGAGUACGGCCGCAAGGCUAAAAC